rnacentral:lncRNA from 10 species
AAAGAAAGAAAAGAAAAGAAAGAAAGAAAGAAAGAAAGAAAAGGGGAAGGGGAAGGGGAAGGGAAGCCACGCUCAUUCACUUAGGUAUUCGCUGUGGCUACUUCCUACAAGAACUGAUUUGAGUAUCUGUGAGAGCAACAAUGUGGUUCCCAAGCCUAAAGUAUUUACUGUCUGGCCCUUUACAGGUAGAGUUUUCUGACACCAAGCAGAGUACAAAAAUUCAAUUUAAUAAAUAAAUUUAAGAGGCAGAGAGAGAUUUUAGUGACAAUUAGAGCGAAGUGUGUUUUGUAAUGAUGGAACUGCUUUUGAACCCUGGUUACAUUUUUAAAAGGUCAGGCCAGGCAGCACAGACACAAUCCCCAGUGUUGCUGAUGUCUGUGAGUGAUCACUUUGGUGACAGUGAGGCAUCAACAAUCAGUUUGGCAAUAGCAACAUUAUUUAUUCUAUAUCUUCUUUUUCCUUCAAAGUGUUUUUUCUACAUUAUGAAAAACAAUGGGAGGGAAGGCCAGUGUGACUAUUAAUAAGACUUGCACUAAGCAUUUUGCAUCUUGUCAAGCAGACCAUAUUUUUAGUGCAUCUACUUUUUGAUAAAUACAUUACAUGGCCUGGACCAAAACCUUAAAAAAAAAAAAAAAGGGCAAGUUGCAUUACAUGUUUUUUUUCCUUUUUGUAUUAUGAGAGAUUAGGAAGCCAGUUUUAAUAAGGGAUUUUUAGCAGUUUUAAUAAGGAAUUUUUCAAAAUACUUAGCCUUAUUUUUAAAUUGUAAGUUAAUUCCUUCAUGUUUCUAUGCUUAGUCAAUAACAAAUACACAAGAAAAAAGCCUCAUAAACCAUCAUAACUGCAUUGUAAGGAAUAUUCAUACUGUAAGGGUGUAUUAAUUCCAUUUCACGCUGCUGUGAAGAAAUACCUGAGACUGGGUAAUUUAUAAAGGAAAGAGAUUUAAUUGACUCACAGUUCCACAGGGCUGAGGGGGCCUCAGGAAACUUACAAUCAUGGCAGAAGGGGAAGUAAAUAUGUCCUUCUUCACAUGGUGGCAGGAAGGAGAAGUGCUGAACAAAAGGAGGAAAGCCCCUUGUAGAAGCAUCAGAUCUUGUGAGAACUCACUCACUAUCACGAGAACAGUAUGGAGGUCACCGCCCCCAUGAUUCAAUUACCUCCUACCAGGUUCCUCCUUGCUAGGAUUAUGAGGACUAUGGGAACUACCAUUCAAGAUGAGAUUUGGGUGAGGACACAGCCAAACCAUAUCAAAAGGCAGUUGCCUAAGAUGAUGUGAAAUCACCAGUGAUUAAGACUUGAUCCAUCUUCAAUUUUCAAAGCAGAAACCAGAAAUCAUUUUCCAUUGAGCCACUCUGACUUUUCAAAAGACAUUUGUCAGAAAUCCAGUUUGCCCUGCUAACUCCCAAGUAGAAAAAUCUAAGUUUAGGUCAUGUAAGGAUGUUUAUACAUUUGUACAAUUGGAGGAAUUAAUAAAAAAUCUAAUUCCAUUUUGAUUAGAUCAGUUCUCUGGGUGAGUGGAGAUAGCUGUUCCAAGUCCAUGGAUCCGAUUAUGCUCCUGAAGGGAUUAAAAUCUUAGAUACAGGAGAGAUAAAGAGAGGGUUGCUAAAAGUGUGCAAAAUUAAAGUUUGGAAUCCUAUCCGAGAACCCAAGUAUGAAUAAUAUUCUAGCACUCUACUAAAGGAAACAAACUUCUGUGCAUUCUUUUGUCUCUAAAGAUAGAAAGUAUUUCUGAAUUUGAAAGUAAUCCAGCUUUUGGUAUUCUUAUAAAAACAUUACAAAAAUGAUAGUAACAACUAACUGCAUUUUUGUGGAUCUGCUCAUUUCAGACGAAAGUAGGCGGUACGAACCCUAAUGGAGGCAGUUUUGAGGAGGUCCUCAGCUCCACGGCCCAUGCCAGUGCCCAGAGCUUGGCAGGAGGCUCCCGGCGGACCAAGGAGGAGGAGCUGCAGUGCUAAGUCCAGCCAGCGUGCAGCUGCAUCCAGAAACCGGCCACUACCCAGCCCAUCUCUGCCUGUGCUUAUCCAGAUAAGAAGACCAAAAUCCCGCUGGGAAAAACCCAGGCCUUGACAUUGUUAUUCAAAUGGCCCCUCCAGAAAGUUUAAUGAUUUCCAUUUGUAUUUGUGUUGAUGAUGGACCACUUGACCAUCACAUUUCAGUAUUCAUAGAUGACUGUCACAUUUUAAAAUGUUCCCACUUGAGCAGGUACACAACUGGUCAUAAUUCCUGUCUGUGUAAUUCGAUGUAUAUUUUUCCAAACAUGUAGCUAUUGUUUGCUUUGAUUUUUGCUUGGCCUCCUUUAUGAUGUGCAUGUCCUUGAAGGCUGAAUGAACAGUCCCUUUCAGUUCAGCAGAUCAACAGGAUGGAGCUCUUCAUGACUGUCUCCAGCAAUAGGAUGAUUUACUAUAAAUUUCAUCCAACUACUUGUGAUCUCUCUCACCUACAUCAAUUAUGUAUGUUAAUUUCAGCAAUUAAAAGAAUUGAUUUUAAUG